rnacentral:rRNA from 1 species
AGUGAACGCUGGCGGUAGGCCUAACACAUGCAAGUCGAACGGCAGCACAGUAAGAGCUUGCUCUUACGGGUGGCGAGUGGCGGACGGGUGAGGAAUACAUCGGAAUCUACUUUUUCGUGGGGGAUAACGUAGGGAAACUUACGCUAAUACCGCAUACGACCUACGGGUGAAAGCAGGGGAUCUUCGGACCUUGCGCGAUUGAAUGAGCCGAUGUCGGAUUAGCUAGUUGGCGGGGUAAAGGCCCACCAAGGCGACGAUCCGUAGCUGGUCUGAGAGGAUGAUCAGCCGCACUGGAACUGAGACACGGUCCAGACUCCUACGGGAGGCAGCAGUGGGGAAUAUUGGACAAUGGGCACAAGCCUGAUCCAGCCAUACCGCGUGGGUGAAGAAGGCCUUCGGGUUGUAAAGCCCUUUUGUUGGGAAAGAAAAGCAGCAGGUUAAUACCCCGCUGUUCUGACGGUACCCAAAGAAUAAGCACCGGCUAACUUCGUG